rnacentral:rRNA from 1 species
AUGAACUCUGGCGGCGUGCCUCAUCCCUGCCAGUCGCGCGAACAGACGAGGAGCUUGCUCCUCUGACGUUAGCGGCGGACGGGUUAGUAACACGUGGAUAACCUACCUAUAAGACUGGGAUAACUUCGGGAAACCGGAGCUAAUACCGGAUAAUAUAUUGAACCGCAUGGUUCCAUAGUGAAAGACGGUUUUGCUGUCACUUAUAGAUGGAUCCGCGCCGCAUUAGCUAGUUGGUAAGGUAACGGCUUACCCAGGCGACGAUGCGUAGCCGACCUGAGAGGGUGAUCGGCCACACUGGAACUGAGACACGGUCCAGACUCCUACGGGAGGCAGCAGUAGGGAAUCUUCCGCAAUGGGCGAAAGCCUGACGGAGCAACGCCGCGUGAGUGAUGAAGGUCUUCGGAUCGUAAAACUCUGUUAUUAGGGAAGAACAAAUGUGUAAGUAACUAUGCACGUCUUGACGGUACCUAAUCAGAAAGCCACGGCUAACUACGUG